rnacentral:RNase_P_RNA from 2 species
GUUUUCGGGUAAUCGCGGUCUGACUUGAUCAGGCUGAGGAAAGUCCAUGCUCGCACAGGCUGUGAUGUCUGUAGUGUUCGUGCUUAGCGAAAAAAUAAGCUAAGGUACUCUUUCGGGAGUAACGGCAGGAAAACGAGCUAAGGUCAUUGACUAUGCUUUAGUAUCCUUGAAAGUGCCACAGUGACGAAGCGAAUAGGGAAACUUAUUCGGUGGAACGCGGUAAACCCCUCGAGCGAGCAACCCAAACAACGGUAGGGGCGCUUUUUGUCGGGGAAUUAAGAACGAGACAAAAGGGCAGGUUAACUGCAGAUAGAUGGUUACCACGUUCUCCUUUCUUCCCUGAAAAGGAGGACGUACAAAACAUGGCUUACAGAA